rnacentral:rRNA from 1 species
AGCAGUAGCCGCGGUAAUACGAAGGGGGCUAGCGUUGCUCGGAAUGACUGGGCGUAAAGGGCGUGUAGGCGGUUUUGACAGUCAGAUGUGAAAUUCCUGGGCUUAACCUGGGGGCUGCAUUUGAGACGCGUAGUCUAGAGUGUGAAAGAGGGUCGUGGAAUUCCCAGUGUAGAGGUGAAAUUCGUAGAUAUUCGGAAGAACACCAGUGGCGAAGGCGGCUCACUGGCUCAUACUGGACGCUGAGGUGCGAAAGCGUGGGGAGCAAACAGGAUUAGAUACCCCCGUAGUCCCUGUCUCUUAUAC